rnacentral:rRNA from 33 species
GAAUGACUCUCGGCAAC